GGAGUGCAGGAGGGAAGGCAGCCUAUGAAGUAGAUGCACUGUACUGAUCACUAAAGGCACUACUGAGGUGCACCUUGUCCUGAAUGCAAAUAGUGUGCAAGCAAGAACAGUACCAAGGGCUUAUGAAGAAAAGAAAGAAAGCACCAGCUUGAGAAGAAUAAAUGCUAACUGAAGUUAUUUGGAAGCCAGGAGCUUAAUUUCAUGCAUAGGACUUAAUAAAUAAGAAGAUGUAGUCAUGAUUUACUGUAAAACCAAAGAACCACUGAAUCAUGAGCCAGCAGAACUAUUUUCCAGAGCUUUAAAUAUUUCAUCUUCUUGCCUGGAUACUGGAUUUUCACUAUUUGUGCUCACCAGAAGAUUGCAGCCCACUCUUCUCAGCAGACCACAGCAGAAUGAACUCAGAAGUUUCAAUCUAUACAGCCUAGUUUGUUUUUCAUCAAACCCAUCGUUGAUAUUGAUAUUGAAAAACAUUGAUAUGCAGCUGUGUAAAUUUGUGUAAAAGUUUUUGCAAGUAUUAUAUCCAGAGAUUGCAUUCAUGAGAGAAAUCCCAAGACUGGGAAAAGAUAUGUAUUUUUAUGCUAUCUACUCCUUGGCAACCUUCUAGUAUUCCUUUCAGAAGCAAAUCUCCACUCCUUACUGCCAUUCUCCUAUUCCUUCCAUCAAUACUGAAAUCGAGUUAUUAGCACAUCCACCUAUUGCUUCAUACACACAAAUGUGUGCUUCAGUGAAGUGUAGUAUCUCUCUCUUUGUGGAGAUGAUUUCAGCUGUCCAAGUUCAGCCAAGACUAGAUGACAUUACUGCUUUCUGUGAGAUACAACAUUCUUUUCCAUCCCAUGAAGCAAUGUUCUAGCAACAUUUCAAGGAUUUUGCAUACACAAAAUUUUACAUAAGCUUCAAUAAUUUGUGCAACUACUUAAUUUCUCUGCUUAACACUCAUAUUUCUUCUUCUUGAAGAAUAAUAGACUAAGCAGCUGAUGAAGUUUACCUAUUCUUGAUUUCUACAUUCUUGAUCCAUAGGACCACUUUGAUAGGAGACUGCAUAUUUCCAGAAGACCUGCAGGGUAAGCAGGAGACAUAGAUGUCCCAUGAACAAGUAUUAGGAGUAAUGACCAGAAUGCUGUUAAAAUAAUUAAUUAAAUAAAUAAACAAAUAAUAAAGGAGCAGAUAGGCAUCCAGAUUUAGAGGUGACAGAAACAAAGCAGUAUUACCCACUCUGUAUACUUUGUUGUUAUCCAGAAAUUGGAUUAAAAUAAAAUUUAAAAGAAAGAGCCUACUUUGCAAGGACAAGAGUUGGAGGGAGACUGGUUUGCAAUUCAUAUUUUAAUUUGCAAUAUCCAAUUUUAAAAUAUUAAAGUAAGUGUGAUGUAGUGUCUUUUUUUCAUGUUGAGAAAGAUCUAGAUACAAAGUCCAUAGUACUGAACAGAAAUAUUCCAGUUUGUGUUGAGAUUCGUUGAACAAAUCAGAGUAGAGCAGUGUUUCACAAACCAACUUUAGCUCAGGGAAGCUGAUCUCCACAGACUCCCACAACAGCUGAUGGAGAGAUAAAAGCAUCUCUACAGUUAAUUCAGAUGAGUAUUCUAUCAUCCUCAAAAGAGAGAUUCUGAAUCUUAUUUUUGAUUCCACUUUGCCCUCAGGAGGAACUUAUUUCUUUCUAUGUAUUGCCAAAGAAACUUGGGAAGAGUCAUAACCAAAAGCAAUGAGUAGUCUUCAUGUUUACACCCCAAAGAUUAUACUGUUUCACAGUAACUUAGAUGCAACCUGAUCUAAACUAUAAACUCAGAUGUUAUCUGUAUCAGUUAUCUUAACAUAUUUUUACUUAUAACUUAUAUUGAAAUAUUAAGUGGUCAUUUUUCAUAUCCUAAUAAGCAGUGAUACAUAAUAAAUAUUUACUGUGAAAGCAUGUAUUCAUCUUGAUUUUAUGUAUGUAUGCAUAUCUUGAAUUUGGGGGUAAAAUUAGAUUUUUUCAAAGUUUUCUUUUUUGUGACUAUUUUGUGACCUUGUAUUACUCAAAGUGAUUUAAUGAAUUUUUUUGGCUUAAUUAAAACAAGAUUUCCAGGGUAGGUUCAAUAAAAUGAG
ensembl:lncRNA